GUUGUUUUGAGCAGAAGUUUCUGGCUUCAGGGAUCAACUGAUGAUUUCUAAAAAUACUUUUCAAUGUUUUUUACUGUUUAGGAAUUGACACAGGAGAUACUUGAGGAAGCCACAAUGCCUUAUUUUGGCUCAGAGGAGACAGUGAAGUAACUGAAGAGAACUCUGUCCAAUCCCAAUGUCCAAGCAGACCGCCUCUGAUACAAAAAUUACAUCACCAAAAUCAUGUCUGUAGAAUAGAUUGAUCAUCUUUCUUUUUUUCACGAAUGACUGAUGAUUUUUCAGGAUGACACAAAGAUAAGGCUUUUGAACAAUCAUCUAAUCUAAAGCAUUGUUAUCAUAACUGCAUUAUGUCCCAUUUGUCCAGCAACUUUUAAAGACCAGCUGAACUUGACUGUCAUCAAGUUAAUUUAAAGUAAAAUUAAUUUUUGCAUCAUAAUGAAAUUUACAUUUUCUGAACAAGCUUAGCAAAUGUGAUCCGAGGUAAAGAGGGUUAGAUUUAAAAUAUUUGAGAUGACUUUUUUUGUCUACAGAAUAGGGUAAGUCUAAUUUAAGUUUGUGUGAAGAAAAGGCAAUUAUAUAGGCCUAACAAUAUCAUUUUUUCAUUUAGUAAUUAAUUUUUUUUAAUUUAAUGCUUUAUUCGUUUGGUAGUUUAUUUAAUUUAAUACAGGGAAUUUUGCCUGCAUUUUUUCAAAAGUAAGCAAAAUAAUAAUUUUUAUAGAUUUGGGCAAUGUUAGUGUUCCAAAAAAGCUCACUGAUGCUUUUCUCCUAGUAUUGUGCAUUUAUUUUUAAUUUUAAACAUCUUUGUGCACAGAAAUGAUAAGUUUUUUGCAUUGUGGGCUAAUUCCAUGACUGCAGUCUAUUAUUUUGAAUGGUGUGGAAAAGCAACUUUAAUAAAUAAACGGAUGGCUACCGCGAUUAUAUUAAUCUCAAAGAGUGGCCAUUCAUUUGUUCUCCCUGCACUUGUAGAUGACAGGUGCAUGAUACGAGAUAUUUGUGUUGGCACUCCUGGAAGUGUUAUGACGCAGAUGUGUUUGCAGCAGCGGAUCUGUGCAGGUAUAUGACACAUGGUCUGGAAGUUUUGCCUUUAUUUAUGGACAUGGAGAAAGCCAGUGCCACAUUUGAUCUUGUUCAGAAGAAGCUGGUGUGUUUGUACAUGUGUACUUAUGCCAGCUGCAAGCCUGACCUGGCACUACUGGCCAUCAACGCUCUCCGUAAAGACUGUGCUGAUCUAAACCCUCUGGUGCGAGGGUUGGCCCUUAGGAACAUGUGCAACUUCAGGAUGCCAGGAAUAACAGAGUACAUAGAGCAGCCUAUUGUUGCUGGUCAGCGUGAUAAGACCAGUUGCGUAAGGUUGUGCCAUAAUGAGUCAUUAAAUCGAAAUGGAUAAACAGAUGCCAGUCUAGUGAAUGAGCUGCAUGCUCUUCUGAGGGACCCAGACCCUGUUGUGGUGAAUUGUCUGUGUGUCCUGGAGGAAAUUCUCAAAGAUGAGGGCAGUGUGGUUAUUAACAAACCCAUCGCUCAUCACCUUCUCAACAGAAUGAAGGACCUGGACAGCUGGACUCAGAGCGGAGUUGUUUGACAUCCUUAGCCUAAUGGACGGUUUCUCCAAAGCGCUCAUGCUCAUGUCGCAGUUGCAUGCUCCGCCUCUUACUUCAUUUAGCAGCUGCCCACCCUGUUGUGCAGGCUGACACCCUUCUGCACUCCAACGCCCUCCUGUUGGCUACAUGUGGUGCUGUGUCACACGAACUUCGAUUUGCCGGACUGUGUCACGUACAGUAGGUCAUGCGAAGUCAGCCAGGCCUUUUUGCGGAUACUCUGAACCGAGUGACAGUUGAAGUCAGAAGUUUACAUACACUUAGGUUGAAGUCAUUAAAACUCAUUUUUUAACCACUCCACAGAUUUAAUAUUAGCAAACUAUAGUUUUGGCAAGCAUUUAGGACAUCUACUUUGUGCAUGACACGAGUAAUUUUGACAACAAUUGUUUACAGACAGAUUGUUUCACUUUUAAUUGACUAUAUCACAAUUCCAGUGGGUCAGAAGUUUACAUACACUAAGUUAACUGUGCCUUUAAGCAGCUUGGACAAUUCCAGAAAAUUAUGUUAAGCCUUUAGGCAAUUAGCCAAUUAGCUUCUGAUAGGAGGUGUACUGAAUUGGAGGUGUACCUGUGGAUGUAUUUUCAGGCCUACCUUCAAACUCGGUGCCUCUUUGCUUGACAUAAUGGGAAAAUCAAAAGAAAUUAGCCAAGACCUCAGAAAAAAAUUUGUGGACCCCCACAAGUCUGGUUCAUCCUUCGGAGCAAUUUCCAAAUGCCUGAAGGUACCACGUUCAUCUGUACAAACAAAAGUAUGCAAGUAUAAACACCAUGGGAUCACGCAACCAUCAUACUGCUCAGGAAGGAGACACAUUCUGUCUGCUAGAGAUGAAUGUAGUUUGGUGCAAAAAGUGCAAAUCAAUCCCAGAACAACAGUAACGGAUCUUGUGAAGAUGCUGGAGGAAACAGGUAGACAAGUAUCUAUAUCCACAGUAAAACGAGUCCUAUAUUGACAUAACCUGAAAGGCUGCUCAGCAAGGAAGAAGCCACUGCUCCAAAACUGCCAUAAAAAAGCCAGACUACAGUUUGUAAGUGCACAUGGGGACAACGAUCUUACUUUUAGGAGAAAUGUCCUCUCGUCUGAUGAAACAAAAAUUGAACUGUUUGGCCAUAAUGACCAUCGUUAUGUUUGGAGGAAAAAGGGUGGGGCUUGCAAACCGAAGAACGCCAUCCCAACUAUGAAGCAUGGGGGUGGCAGCAUCAUGUUGUGGGGGUGCUUUGCUGCAGGAGGGACUGGUACACUUCACAAAAUAGAUGGCAUCAUGAGGAAGGAAAAUUAUAUGGAUAUAUUGAAGCAACAACUCAAGACAUCAGCCAGGAAGUUAAAGCUCGGUCGCAAAUGGGUCUUCCAAAUGGACAAUGGCAAAAUGGCUUAAGGACAAUAAAGUCAAGGUAUUGGAGUGGCCAUCACAAAGCCCUGACCUCAAUCCAAUAGAACAUUUUGGGCAGAACUGAAAAAGCGUGUGCAAGCAAGGAGGCCUACAAACCUGACUCAGUUACACCAGUUCUGUCUGGAGGAAUGGGCCAAAAUUCCAGCAACCUAUUGUGAAAAGCUUGUGGAAGGCAAUCCAAAACUUUUGACCAAGUUAAACAAUUUAAAGGCAAUGUUACCAAAUACUAACAAAGUGUAUGUAAACUUCUGACCCACUGGGAAUGUGAUGAAAGAAAUAAAAACUGAAAUAAAUCAUUCUCUCUACUAUAAUUCUGACAUUUCACAUUCUUAAAAUAAAUUAGUGAUCCUAACUGACCUAAGACAGGGAAUGUUUUCUACGAUUAAAUGACAGGAAUUGUGAAAAAUUGAGUUUAAAUGUAUUUGGCUAAGGUGUAUGUGAACUUCUAACUUCAACUGUACAUAAAAUUUCACAAGAUGGAAAUCCUGGUGGAGCUGUUAAAUUAUGAAAGUGUGUCUUUGGCUUUGGAAGAAUUGAGGAGUUACUGCACCGAUGUGUUUCCUGAGCUGGCCCAGACAGCCAUUGCUAUAGGUAGCACAUUUCACAAGAUGCUGUUUGUUUUUAUUACACAGUUUUAACAAUGAUUAAACACUGCGGCUUACUAUAUGUUACAUGUUGAAGACCCCAUGACUUUUGUGGCUUAUAAGGUCACAGUACAAUCCAUAAGAAAUCUCAGAAUGAACGGGUGUAACGUCAUUUAGAACAAAAUCUAGCCAAAACUGAGGUGUUUUUGAGUUUGUAUUUUCUGUGGUUCGUAACAGCUCGCCAAUGCGAACUUUCAGGAAAACUUCGUACUGGAUGCUAAACACCUUCUUUGUGCCAUUGUUCUACUUCAGCGGUAGGUGUGAUCUGGAGCUCAGUUAACAUGAACACACCGAUGUGCAGAGUUAUUAGCAAGCUGGUGCAAACUUACCUACAUCUGUAUGAUCGUUUGCAUAGAGACAUUUUCCAAGAACAUGUGUCAUCAUAAAUUACAAUAGCAGAGUGUAAACAGCAAAUGUUACGUCCACGUAUAGCAUGUUAGCACAUUAGUGCCAAUAAUGCAAAAUGUAAACAUGACAAAUUGCACAUUAUCUACUGCAUAUAUUCCUUUUAAUCAUCGAGUGGUUAAACGGCUUCUCAUGUGUGUUCUACUCAUAGAAUGAGGCAUAUAUUCAUUGAUAACACAUUUUAAUGUCACAUUUGUUAAGGUUUUACAUGUAGUCUUAUGUUUAAAUAUACCUCUAAACAUCUCCCACAGCGGUGUGGCCGGUGUCUGACUGUUCGCAAACUGUAUGUCAUUGCUCAGCUGUUUCGAACUUCUUUUUGGCUCUGAGCGAAGAACGAAGAAAACUUCUUCGUGAAGGCGUGGUCACCCAUACCUUCGCACAGCGAAAUUUCACAGGCGCAAUACAUUAAUCUCAAAGGGAAUUCACGCAUGAUGUCGUGAAUUUCGCACGAUGGACUUCGGUUGAUGGACUUUCUUCUGUGUUAGCAUCUUUACUACUCCAGCCAUUGUGAGAACUUGGCAGUCCUAUACUGUAGAUGUACAGUUUUUCUCCUUCAGGAAAAUGGACAAAAAUAUUAAUGACUCAUCUUUUAAAAAUUAGAAAUAAAAAAAUAGAUUUUUGUCCAAUCAAAUGCACACUAUAAGGAGAAUGUCCCACCCCCUAAUCACACUUGCAGGGUUCAUGGCUGUGACGUAACUGAAGCAUAUUGGCUAUUUUAAAGAAAAAGGAUGAGACCUUCGAUAUAUCCCAUCCAGUUUCAAUUGGGAAUAUGUCACAUUUCACAGGCUCUUUAGGAGAUAUUUAUGCUCAGUUUUCAUAGCUAAUGUCACUCUGGAGGGGAAGUGGUCGUGUGUCUGUCAGUGGGGAGAGAGGAAGCGGUAAGAGCCAUUACCUGGUGAUUAUUGACUCUAAACACCUGUGUCUCAUUUCAGUGACGGCGGAUAUGGGCUUUAAAAGGCCGGCAGAUCACCAGACCGGGAGAGAGAGUCAGAGAUGCACACACACACACACACCCAGACCGAAGCUGUAUGCUGAAAAGCUAUAUGAAUAAUAUAAUUAUUGAGUUUAUGUUGACUGUUAUAAUUGCAGCAGUGUGUGAAAAUUGAAAUUCUUGCUGGAAAGCCUAUGUUGAGCUAAGCCUUGAGAAUAAAAGAAUACCCACAUGAACUGUGAUGCUGGCUCCUGUUCCCUUUUUGCAACCCACUCUGAGAACUCUUACACUGGUUCCGAAACCCGGAAAUUGAGAAGAAGAUUGGCUGCCAUGGACACCUCACCGCUGGGCGAAGUCAUCUGUGCCUUGGCUAGCAUCCAGGAGACUCACCACCAAGCUCUCCUCGCCCAGGAGCGGUGCUUCCAGGAACUCGUUCAAGCGCAGGCAGAGGAUCGGCAGGCCUUACGGAGCUGGCUAGCUCCAGGCGGGUCCUCCACCGCAGCCCCGGAAGCAGCGAUGAAGCCGCACAUUGUGCUCACUAAGAUGGGGACCUAGAAUGAUCCAGAGGCAUUCAUGAACAGUCGGCCACCGCCUCCGACUGGCCGCGACUACAAUGGGCCCUGCACCUGCUGCCGAGUUGGGUGCUAGUCGAGGAAGGCCGUGACGUGGAGAAUGUCAUCGAUCUGAUGGUGCUGGAGCAGUUGACCACUCAUCUGCCCUGAGGAACCGCAGAAUGUGUCCAGUGCCAUCGUCCCACGUCAAUGGAUGAUGCCAUCCAGCUGGCUGAAGCCCACAUGGCAGCCUAUCCGGAAGCUGGCGAGCAGGAGUCCACAAUUCUCUCUCUCUCUUGCUGCCCCUCCUCUUCUUGUCCCUCCCUCUCCUCCCUCUCGCCCCAUACCCACUCCUCGGAGGGCUGCUUCCGAGGGCUGCACUAUUCGCCGGUCCCCCCUGCCCCUCUCUGUCACCACUCACAGGAUGAUGUCUCCACCACGACGAGUGCAGCCGGGAAGUCUGGGCCAGUCUGCUGGAUUUGCAGGGAGCUGGGACAUGCCUAAGACUGGUGUCCUGUGAUGGAGAUGGGGACGUAGGUCCGGGUCCCCGACACACCACAGACCGCCCCUGGUUGAGCAGGGACGUACCAUACACCGGUAAGAAUUAAGGGGUGUACAUACCAAGCACUGGUGGAUUCUGGCUGUAAUCAAACCUCGAUUCACCACGGCUUGGUUCAUGAUGGGGCUUUAGGUGCAAAACACAAGGUGGUGGUGAGGUGUGUGCAUUGUGAUGUUCACGAGUAUCCGGUAGUGACAGCCAUUACUCAAUUCCGGGGGGAAAAGCAUAGAGUGGAGGCUGUUAUUAAUUCGCGCCUCACCCAUCACUGAUUUUGGGUACCAAUUGGCCGGGUUUAAAAAUUUAUUAAAAGCAUUAUGUGUGGAUGGGUCCUGUGAACCAAAAUUUCAGUGUGUGAUGUGUGACGUGAUGGCUGGGGAGGCGGAGCCGGGGCCAUCUAUGGCUGCUCAGCGUUAGAGUGACGCAGGAGGGGAAUCCUCCGGCAUUUGCGCCCUUAGGGAAUUCCCAGAGGGGGAUUUCCCUCUAGAGCAGUGAGUGAUGAAAAAAUUAAGCAUGCCUUUGACCAAGUGAGAGUGAUCGAUGGCCAGCAGCUCCAGCUUAACGUUGCACUCACAUAUCCAUAUUUUUCAAUCAUCAGGGACCCGUUGUAUCAAGUGAUGCAGGACACUUAAACCCAUGAAAAUACAACCCAGUUAUUAGUCCCGAAGAGCCAUCGGGAAAUACUUUUCCAGGUGGCUCACUAUAAUCCUAUGGUGGGUCACUUAGGACAAGAAAGGACACUGCACCGGUUAAUGGCCCGCUUUUAUUGGCCAGCCAUUCGCGGCGAUGUGCACAGAUGGUGUGCGGCAUGCCGAAAAUGUCAGGAGGUGGGCUGAUGGGCUGGUCGAAUGAUUUAAUCGAACCCUAAAAAAUAUGAUUUGUAAAUUCGUAUGCAAGGAUGAUAGAAACUGGGACAAAUGACUGGAACCCGUGGGGUGCUUGACGUCAUACAGGAGGCAUGGGAGGAGCGACCUUCCCAAAGCAAAAAUUAAAUUCAGUAUGUCCUUGACCUUUGAGCAAAGCUACACACGCUGGGCCGGUUGUCACAGGGAAAUUUGCUCCAAGCUCAAGAGAGACAAAGCCGGCUCUAUAAUAAGGGUGCCCAGCUAUGCAAAUUUGCACCGGGAGACAAAGUCCUUGUAUUAUUUCCCACUUCGAGCUCUAAAUUAGUGGCAAGGACCCUUUGAGGUUGCACGGUGAGUUGGGGAUCUCUAUUAUGAGGUCAAACGAACAGAUAGAGGCGGAGCACGUCAAAUUUACCAACUCAACCUCCUUUGUUUAUGGAGAGAGGUGGUCCCCGUGUCCAUGACGACAGUAGUUCCAGAGAGAGCAGAGCUCAGGCCAGAGGUGAAGUUCAAAGCCGAUUCAUUCACCCCAGUCCCUUGUGGAGACCACCUCUCACCGUCCCAGCUCGCGGAGGUGGCAAAGUUGCAAAAGGAAUUUGCGAACGUGUUCUCCCCUCUUCCCGGUCGUACGGACCUCAUACAACACCAUAUCGAGACUCCGCCAGGAGUAGUAGUACGUAGUCGGCCGUACCGUUCUGAGAGCGACGGGUCAGUCUGGUUCUGUGUAGAUUAUCAAAAAGUCCAAUUUUAUUCGACACUGGAUUUAACAAAGGGGUAUUGGCAGAUCCCCUUAACUCCAUUAUCCUGAGAAAAAACUGCGUUUUCCACACUGUUUGGAUUACACCAAUCCGUUCGGUUUGUUUGGGGCUCCUGCCACAUUCCAGUGCCUCAUGUAUAAGAUUCUUCGGCUGCACGCCGCAUAUGCCGCUGCCUAUUUAGAUGAUAUUAUUAUAUACAGUAACGAUUGGCAGAGGCAUAUGCAGCAUCUGAGAGCCGUCCUGAGGUCACUGAGGUGGGCGGGGCACAUGGCAAACCCAAAAAAGUGUACAAUUGGAUGGUUGGAAGUAUGGUAUCUGGGCUUCCACUUAAGUCAUGGGCAGGUACGGCCCCAAGUUGAUAAGACCGUAGCGAUAGCGGCCUGCCCACGACCCAAGACCAAGAAGGAGGUGAGACAGUUUAUGGGGCUGGCUGGCUACUACUGAAGGUUUGUGCCUAGUUUCUCUGAUAUCACCAGCCCCUUCACUGAUCUCACUAAAAAGGGGGUGCCAGAUCCAGUCCAGUAAACGGAGUUAUACCAACAGGCUUUUACGAGAGUGAAAUCUGCACUCUGUGGUGGGCCGCUUUUACAUGCUUCAAAUUCUCUCUCCCCUUCAUUUUACAGAUGGAUGCAUCUCAGAGAGGGGGUGGGGGGCCGUGCUCUCACAGGAGGUAGAGGGGGUGGAGCAGCCCGUGCUGUACAUUAGUCGUAAGCUUUCUUUGAGGGACACUAAGUACAGUACGAGUGCCUGGCCAUCAAAUGGGCUGUCCUAACCCUAUUACCUGCUGGAGCCUUCAACCUCUGCUCGGAUCACUCCCCGCUUCAGUGGCUUCACUGCAUGAAGGAUGCCAAUGCGCAGAUCACUCAUUGGUACCUGGCACUUCAGCUGUUCAAAUUUAAGGUGAUCCACAGGCAUGGUUGUGGCUGAUUUCCUCUCCAGGAAUUGGGGGGGGGGGGUUCUCACAGUGUUCACAGCCGUUGGACCAGACAAAAUCUACUACCAAUUUUUAAAUAAUCUACUGUACCUCGCACUACUCUAACUAUGCUUCUUAAAAAUCUUUAACUCCAUCUGGAUAUCAGGAAAUAUUCCACCCGCUUGGAAGGAAGCAGAAAUUAUACCCAUUCCAAAGACAGGGAAACACCAUAACGAUGCCAACAACUAUUGACCUAUAUAGCCAUGACCAGCUGCUUAUGCAAAACAAUGUGUAAAUAUUUGUAUGAACAUAAAAAGAUUCAACAACUAAGACAUAAACUGAACAAAUUUCACAGACAUUUGACUAACAGAAAUGGAAUAAUGUGUCCCUGAACAAAGUGGGGGUCAAAAUCAAAAGUAACAGUUAGUAUCUGGUGUGGCCACCAGCUGCAUUAAGUACUGCAGUGCAUCUCCUCCUCAUGGACUGCACCAGAUUUGCCAGUUCUUGAGAUGUUACCCCACUCUUCCACCAAGACACUUGCAAGUUCCUGGACAUUUCUGGGGGGAAUGGCCUUAGCCCUCACCCUCCGAUCCAACAGGUCCCAGACGUGCUCAAUGGGAUUGAGAUCUGGGCUCUUCGCUGGUCAUGGCAGAACACUGACAUUCCUGUCUUGCAGGAAAUCAUGUACAGAACAAGCAAUAUGGCUGGUGGCAUUGUCAUGCUGGAGGGUCAUGUCAGGAUGAGCCUGCAGGAAGGGUACCACAUGAGGGAGGAGGAUGUCUUCCCUGUAACACACAGCAUUGAGAUUGCCUGCAAUGACAACAAGCUCAGUUCGAUGAUGCUGUGAAACACCGCCCCAGACCAUGAUGGACCCUCCACCUCCAAAUCGAUCCCGCUUCAGAGUACAGGCCUCGGUGUAACGCUCAUUCCUUCAAUGAUAAACGCGAGUUCGACCAUCACCCUUGGUGAGACAAAACCGUGACUCGUCAGUGAAGAGCACUUUUUGCCAGUCCUGUCUGGUCCAGCAAAGGUGAGUUUUUGCCCAUAGGUGAUGUUGUUGCCAAAUAUGUCUGGUAAGGACCUGCCUUACAACAGGCCUACAAGCCCUCAGUCCAGCCUCUCUCAGCCUAUUGUGGACAGUCUGAGCACUGAUGGAGGGAUUGUGCAUUCCUGGUGUAACUCGGGCAGUUGUUGUUGCCAUCCUGUACCUGUCCCGUAGGUGUGAUAUUCGGAUGUACCGAUCCUGUGCAGGUGUUGUUACACAUGGUCUGCCACUGUGAGGACGAUCAGCUGUCCUUCCUGUCUCAUUGUAGUGCUGUCUUAGGCAUCUCACAGUACGGAUAUUGCAAUUUUUUGCCCUGGCCAGAUCUGCAGUCCUCAUGCCUCCAUGCAGCAUGCCUAAGGCAUGUUCAUGCAGAUGAGCAGGGACCCUGGGCAUCUUUCUUUUGGUGUUUUUCAGAGACAGUAGAAAGGUCUUUUUAGUGUCCUAAGUUUUUAUAACUGUGACAUUAAUUGCCUACCAUCUGUAAGCUGUUGGUAUCUUAAUGACCGUUCCACAGGUGCAUGUUCAUUAAUUGUUUAUUGUUCAUUGAACAAGCAUGGAAAACAUUCUUUAACCCUUUCCAGCUGGAGCGUUCAAAUUUGGGAACAAUUAUUCCCAUGGUUCCUGUCUCAAUAUCUUCGCCGUCCAAUCACCGAUUUUAUUUCUGAAAACUGCCAGAUACUCAUGACAAUAUAAGCUAAAAGCACAAUUGGUUAAGGGAUUACUGGGCAUGAAUAAUAAAUGUAUCAUCAUCAGCGUCAUCCUCCAUUUGCCUGAGCGGAGCUAGAGAGGAUACGCCGGGAGAUUACCUGCAGUGUUGGACUUACUGCUUCAAAUUGAAAACUGAGGCGAUCUUUUGAGGUAAGACAAGUUAUUUAACAUGUGUUGUCAAUAUUGUCUAUUAAAAGUCAAAACAUUUUAGUUACAAAGCAUUUUUUUUGUAGGAGUAACGCUAGUUAUGUCUGGAAAAAAUGACAUGACCGUCGCCGUUUAUCAGACAGGCAGCUGGCCUCUAUUUUUAAGCAAAUUUCUGUGAAACUUGCUAAAUAAACAUUAGCUAGCAAUACUAUGUACAUUUUUAGCUAAAUAUCAAUAGAUAGAUAGAAAUUUUGAUUUUGUAUGUUUUGCUGUGCAAUUCGUGUGUAAUUCUAAUGUUCAAAUUAAAUAAAGUGUGUGUUUUAUUGAACACAUAAAAUUUGUAUUUAAGUUUUUGUGUUUGUGUGUGGCACAGAAUGGAAUUUUCAGAUUUUUUUUCAGGCUUUAAAGGGUUAAACCCUUUACAAUAAAGAUCUGUAAAGUUAUUUGGAUUUUUACAAAAUUAUCUUUAAAAUACAGUGUCCUGAAAAAGGGACGUUUCUUUUUUUGCUGAGUUCACGUGAUGCUUUUAUUAAGAAAGAACGUGUUGUAGCAGUCUUUUUUUAUUUAUUUGGAGAAAGCCUACGACACAAUAUGGAAGUAUGGCAUUUUAAAGGAUUUGUAUCAGUUUAGUUUUAGAGGACGUUUACCAGUUUAUAUUGAGAGAUUUUUAUCAAACAGACUUUUUAGAGUCAAGGUAGAUAACACCUUGUCUGACCUACAUAGACAAAAACUUGGAGUUCCUCAAAGAAGGAUUUUAUCAGUAACUCUUUUUAGUAUUAAAAUAAAUAACAUUACAAAAGUAAGUGGUUCAGCUAUUCAAUGUAGCUUAUACAUUCAGCCACAACAUUAAAACCACCUGCCUAAUAUUGUGUAGGUCCCCCUCGUGCUGCCAAAACAGUGCCAACCCGCAUCUCAGAAUAGCAUUCUGAGAUGCUAUUCUUCUCACCACAAUUGUACAGUGCAGUAAUCUGAGUUACCGUAGACUUUGUCAGUUCAAACCAGUCUGGCCAUUAUCUGUUGACCUCUCUCAUCAACAAGGCAUUACUGUCCACAGAACUGCUGCUCACUGUAUGUUUUUAUUUUGGCACCAUUCUGAGUAAAUUCUAGAGACUGUUGUGCAUGAAAAUCCCAGAAGAUCAACAUUUACAGAAAUACUCAACCCAGCCCAUCUGGCACCAAAAAGAGAUGUUUUAAAGCCAUGAACAUUUUAAAGGUUUUAUCUAAGACAGAAUGGGGUGCAGACACCUCAAUCCUCCCAAAUCUAUAUAGAACCCUGAUUCGCUCAAAGCUGGACUAUGGAAGUAUAGUCUAUGGCUCAGCCAGAAAAUCAUACAUUUGACUUUUGGAUACUAUACAACACCAAGGUAUAUGACUGGCUUUGGGAGCUUUCAGAAUGUCAUCAUGUGGAGGCUAAUGAGCUUUCUUUGGAAAACAGACACCUGAAGCUGGCUUUACAGUAUGCAAUCAAGCUUAACAAAAAUAAUGAAAAUCCGGCCUAUCUGGCUGUGUUUUCACCUCAACUUUCAAUAAUGUAUGGAAAGUAAAAGUUACAUCUGCCCACUUGGUCUACAUAUUAAACCUCAUCUGGAGAAUUUAAAAGUGGAUUUAAACAUUUUGAAAUGAACUCACUUUUGCAAAAUUCCUCCAUGGGACCUCAGAAAACAAGAAACAAAGAGUCAAAAACUCAUCCAAAUGAUUAUCACCAACAACUUUUGGAUAUAAGACAAAUGUUCCCAUUACAUAUUCCGCUUUAUACAGAUGGAUCUAAAUCUGAAAAUUAUGUGUCUGCGGCUUUUGCAUCAAAUCAACUACAUCAGGGUAUACAUAUUGCUGACAAAAGCUCAGUUUUGAGUACAGAGGCCCUGAUUCAAAAUUAUGUUUUGAAACACUAGAAUAUAUUAAAAGACAAGUCAAGUCAUUUUUAUAUGUAUAGCGCCUUUCACAACACACGUCGUUUCAAAGCCUCUCAAAGGAGGUAGAUCCUUUUCAUAUUUGGCUCCUAAACUAUGGAAUAGUCUCCCUAACACUGUUCGGGAUGCAGACACACUCACUCAGUUUAAGUCUAGACUAAAGACUCAUCUAUUUAGCCAGGCAUACACCUAAUUUAUCCCUCAACUCACAAUUAGGCUGCUUUAGUUAGGUCUGCCAGAACCAGAAACCAGAAACAUUAAUCAUGAUCUAUAACUCUGCAAUAAAUUGAAUGGCAUCUAUACUAAUAUUAUUUGUUUCCCUGUCUCAACCUCGGGACUCCUAUCCUGAGGUCACCAGAACCGGCUGGAUCCAGCUCCAUUCCCACUUCGUGUUGGACUCCACUGCUAAGUGUCGCUGCGUGAUGAUGACUAAUAGCAGCUGGUGCCAGCCAAACAUUACUUCAGUCUAUUACGUUGGACUUCAGAGAAUGAACUGAUGCCAACUCCAACCAUAAGACAUGGGAUACUUCAUAUGCCAUUGCCUGAACCUUGGAUUUAGGAUAGACCUCACCGAAAUUACCGGCCAGGUUGAACUGCGAUGCACCUAACUGAUCUCUGCCUGCAUCACCUUUGUCUAUUGAUGGACUACACUCUUGAAAUGGAAUACAUAGACUAUCAAUUAAUUGCCAACAAAUCCCUUCAUCAGCCAACUAACAAGGACAAUUGGAUCUAUGUGAACGUCUGCAGUUAAUACAGGAUGGACUUCAAAGACAUUAGUCAUUAAUCUUACAGUUCAUACAAAGUUUUUGUUUAAACACUGGCCCUUAACACUUACUUAAUCAUUUUAAACCAUGACUUGCACUAUACAUAAGUAAUAUUGGCAUUAUUUUCAUGAUGUUAGCCCCACAGAGAGCCUGGUUUCUCCCAAGGUUAUUUUUCUCCAUUAACCAACAUCUUAUGGAGUUUUGUGUUCCUUGCCACAGUUGCCUUCGGCUUGCUCACUGGGGUUCUAAAUACAAUUAUUAUUUCAUUUUUAUAUACAAUUUACAAUCAUCUUUAAUCAAACUACACAAUGAUCACUAAGACUUUAUAGAUAUUACAGUUUUAUUUUCUGUUAAUGCUUGAUCUUCUGUAAAGCUGCUCUGAAACGAUGUGUGUUGUGAAA